UCGAGAAUCUUCGGCAAUGGGCGCAAGCCUGACCGAGCGACGCCGCGUGUGGGAUGAAGGCCCUUGGGUUGUAAACCACUGUCAGAGGGGAUGAAAUGCACGAAAGUUAUCUUUCGUGUUUGACAUAGCCUCAGAGGAAGCACGGGCUAAGUUCGUGCCAGCAGCCGCGGUAAUACGAACUGUGCGAACGUUAUUCGGAAUCACUGGGCUUACAGGGUGCGUAGGCGGCUUGUUAAGUAGGGUGUGAAAGCCCCCGGCUCAACCGGGGAAUGGCGCCCUAAACUGGCGAGCUAGAGUGAGAUAGGGGUGUGUGGAACUUCCGGUGGAGCGGUGAAAUGUGUUGAUAUCGGAAGGAACGCCGGUGGCGAAAGCGACACACUGGAUCUUGUCUGACGCUGAGGCACGAAAGCCAGGGGAGCGAACGGGAUUAGAUACCCCGGUAGUCC
rnacentral:rRNA from 1 species